rnacentral:lncRNA from 1 species
UGGGCCUGUGUUUUGUCAUGAGGUGAUGUUUCAUGAAUAAUAUACUUUGUAGUCGAGCGUUAGCAUACUAGCCCGACCCGUUGCUGUUUAAAGACCCCCGUUGUUGGAGUAACAGUUUGAUUUGCUCUGUUUCCUGGUGAAAGUGACCUUUGUCCAAAAUAACCGGGAUUUCUGGAGUCCGUGGAGAUGCUGAUCGUUGUACUUAGGGACUAUAUGAAUUCUGGCUUGGUGGGGGUGUUGCUGGUGUAUAGGCAUUAAACUUCCUGUAUUUCUAUCUGGAGAUCUAUUGCUCAGAGGAUCUUCCACGUGUAUAUUGAUCAAGUGAUCUUCCACGAUUAUAUUGGUCAGAAGGCCCAACGUUAUAUUGAUCGGCCAAUCAAUGGUAACGCAGAUUAGUUGAAACCAUAAAACCAGCUAGUUUUGUGACAAUUUGAGUGAGGUAACGCAUCUCAUUUUCCAAAGGACUGCUCAUAUUCCCUUUAUCGCUGGGUGAUACUGUGCCAUCAUCAAAGAAGACUUGCCUAUGGGCACUUUUUGAUCCAUAUAUCGCCAUCUGGUUGGCUUUUGAUGUUUUCAUUUGUUUCAACGCCUUGUUGAUCGUGUCUGGGUUACUCUCUAUUACAUGUCUUGCAGAAUCUUUGUCUUUACUUCCUCGGAGGAAUGCUUGGGUUCAAAUCUGGUCUCCGUCUUUCUUUCUGAAGCGUUGCUUCAAUGCUUUUCUUAAGGACUUGGAAUCAUCAUCUGUGCGUACCUUGUAAGCGUACUCCAAGGCAACAUCGGCCAGGCAUUGUAGGGGCCUACAAAUCUUUUUUUUCUUUUUUCCCCAUUGUCGUCUUUUGGCAGUCCGUUCAAUUUGGUAAAUGAACGCCUCUCAAGUCACGGAUCUUCUUCCAUUGAAUAUUUGCAUGUUUUGGGCUCCGGUCCCUGACACAAAGAAUAUUCUUGCCAUCGGGUAUAUUCUCUCUCCAGAGAGGAGUCUGAAAAAAGCUGUUGCUACGCUCUUUUGGUUUCCCCUGCCUUUUUCCUGGAUCGGUCAGUGGAGUCGGCUUGCUGUUGUGUCUGUUGGAGCUUUAGAAGCUGACGAGGUUGUCAUAAUUGGAGUCAUAAAUGUGGAAGGAGGAGUAUAUGCUAUUGACUCGACAGGGAUGGUACUGUUAGUAUGCACGGCAGUCAGCAUUUGAGAAACUUGAUAGGAUCCAGAUGCAGCUAAUUGUUUCUGUAAUGGUGCGCUGUUCUGAACCAAAUAUGAUUGACUCAUAGUUGGUGGUAAGUGUACGUAAGAAGACACCUAGGCCAUUUGAUGACAUUCUUGAUCAGUACUAGAGGUCUAGUAUGUC